AGUGCAAUUUGUAUCUUAAACAUAAACGAAAAUUGUUUUGUGUCAGUGCCAGAAAUUAAAUGCACACCUGGAAAUUUCAUAAUUCAUAAAAAUAUUAUGAAUCCAUUAAUAAAGUUGUAUCUUUGAAAGAUAUGCUGGUUUUAUUAGCAUAAUGGGCAAGCAUUGAAGUGCAACUUGGUGAACUACAAAACACAUCAAAUUCAGUUAUAAAAAUUUGAGUAACAAAGGUAUGCUAAUUAUUGUAUUGCCUGAACGAGAGUCAUUGCCGUUAAAAGAAGUGAAGAAUUCAAGUACUCUGGAAAAAAAAGACAAGUAAAUGGUUGUGUAUUUUUGCAGUUCAAUUAUUUGGCACAAAUUGAAGUUAAAGAUGAAGGAGAUUGUAUAUGUUAUUUACUAAGAAUAGUUUAUUAAAAUGGUGUAGCUGUAAAAUUAAAUUAUGCAGGGAGAGGAUAAAAAAUUGUAAUAGGAAAAAUGUUGAUUGCAUAUGCUGCUAUUGGUAUGUGAUUUAGAAAAGUAUAUUUUUUCAGUUUCAAUUUUGCAUUACAGAAUUACUUUUAAUUUGUUAUAUUUCUUUGGUCCAUAAUUAAACAAACAACUAUUUUUUUUGCAGAAACUGUUUAGUCAAAUAAGCAUAAAAGCUUUUGCAAGACAUGUGAUAGAGAUAAGCUUUUGCUAUUUAGGCAAAUUUUUUUUCUUCGGCGUAAUAUUGUAAUUCU